rnacentral:rRNA from 1 species
UACGAAGGGGGCUAGCGUUGUUCGGAAUUACUGGGCGUAAAGCGCGUGUAGGCGGGUCUUUAAGUCAGGGGUGAAAUGCCAAGGCUCAACCUUGGAACUGCCUUUGAUACUGGAGACCUUGAGUCCGGGAGAGGUGAGUGGAAUUGCGAGUGUAGAGGUGAAAUUCGUAGAUAUUCGCAAGAACACCAGUGGCGAAGGCGGCUCACUGGCCCGGAACUGACGCUGAGACCGCGAAAGCGUGGGGAGCAAACAGGAUUAGAAACCC